GCCGAGGUGGUGAAACUGGCAGACGCGCUGGACUCAAAAUCCAGUGGGGCAACCCGUGCGGGUUCGAUUCCCGCCCUCGGCA
rnacentral:tRNA from 1 species